rnacentral:lncRNA from 1 species
CCGAGUAUUUGAAAUGUACUUCUCCAUAGGAAUAGCCCAGAUACUGUAGUAUUCUGUCUAUCUCAGAUUUAAUCACCCCUCCAGAAUAUAAUGAAUCCUUACCAAUUUUAGCUUGGAGUCCAGAAGCUGAAGAGAAUUUCUGGGUACAGUGUUGAAAUGCCUUGACAGAUAUUAAGUCUCCUCUGGAGAACAAUCGUAGGUCAUAUGCAAAGCAUUGAUGUGCUAUCCUCAUUCUAGCACAUUUUGGAUGAAAGUGGAACUCCUUGCCCUGUGUUAGCUGAUUUAAACUUCUGCCCAGAUAUCAAUCGCUAUGGCAAAUAGAAAAGGAGAUAUGGGUCUCCUUGCCUUAGCCAAUGAUUCUCCAUUAACCAAAAUAGUAUAAUUCACUACUUUCACAUAUUUAAG